rnacentral:rRNA from 1 species
GCUCCUACGGGGGGCAGCAGUGGGGAAUAUUGCACAAUGGGGGAAACCCUGAUGCAGCGACGCCGCGUGAGUGAAGAAGUAUUUCGGUACGUAAAGCUCUAUCAGCAGGGAAGAAAUAAAGUCCUUUGGACUUUGGACGGUACCUGACUAAGAAGCCACGGCUAACUACGUGCCAGCAGCCGCGGUAAUACGUAGGUGGCAAGCGUUGUCCGGAUUUACUGGGUGUAAAGGGCGUGCAGCCGGAGAGACAAGUCAGAUGUGAAAUCCGCGGGCUCAACCCGCGAACUGCAUUUGAAACUGUUUCC